AGAGUUUGAUCCUGGCUCAGAGCGAACGCUGGCGGCAGGCCUAACACAUGCAAGUCGAACGAACUCUUCGGAGUUAGUGGCGGACGGGUGAGUAACACGUGGGAACGUGCCUUUAGGUUCGGAAUAACUCAGGGAAACUUGUGCUAAUACCGAAUGUGCCCUUCGGGGGAAAGAUUUAUCGCCUUUAGAGCGGCCCGCGUCUGAUUAGCUAGUUGGUGAGGUAAUGGCUCACCAAGGCGACGAUCAGUAGCUGGUCUGAGAGGAUGAUCAGCCACAUUGGGACUGAGACACGGCCCAAACUCCUACGGGAGGCAGCAGUGGGGAAUCUUGCGCAAUGGGCGAAAGCCUGACGCAGCCAUGCCGCGUGAAUGAUGAAGGUCUUAGGAUUGUAAAAUUCUUUCACCGGGGACGAUAAUGACGGUACCCGGAGAAGAAGCCCCGGCUAACUUCGUGCCAGCAGGCGCGGUAAUACGAAGGGGGCUAGCGUUGCUCGGAAUUACUGGGCGUAAAGGGAGCGUAGGCGGACAUUUAAGUCAGGGGUGAAAUCCCGGGGCUCAACCUCGGAAUUGCCUUUGAUACUGGGUGUCUUGAGUAUGAGAGAGGUGUGUGGAACUCCGAGUGUAGAGGUGAAAUUCGUAGAUAUUCGGAAGAACACCAGUGGCGAAGGCGACACACUGGCUCAUUACUGACGCUGAGGCUCGAAAGCGUGGGGAGCAAACAGGAUUAGAUACCCUGGUAGUCCACGCCGUAAACGAUGAUUGCUAGUUGUCGGGAUGCAUGCAUUUCGGUGACGCAGCUAACGCAUUAAGCAAUCCGCCUGGGGAGUACGGUCGCAAGAUUAAAACUCAAAGGAAUUGACGG
rnacentral:rRNA from 1 species